AUUGAACGCUGGCGGCAGGCUUAACACAUGCAAGUCGAGCGGGGUGAUGGUGCUUGCACUAUCACCUAGCGGCGGACGGGUGAGUAAUGCUUAGGAAUCUGCCUAUUAGUGGGGGACAACAUUUCGAAGGGAAUGCUAAUACCGCAUACGUCCUACGGGAGAAAGCGGGGGAUCUUCGGACCUUGCGCUACUAGAUGAGCCUAAGUCGGAUAGCUAGUUGGUGGGGUAAAGGCCUACCAAGGCGACGAUCUGUAGCGGGUCUGAGAGGAUGAUCCGCCACACUGGGACUGAGACACGGCCCAGACUCCUACGGGAGGCAGCAGUGGGGAAUAUUGGACAAUGGGCGGAAGCCUGAUCCAGCCAUGCCGCGUGUGUGAAGAAGGCCUUAUGGUUGUAAAGCACUUUAAGCGAGGAGGAGGCUACUUUAGUUAAUACCUAGAGAUAGUGGACGUUACUCGCAGAAUAAGCACCGGCUAACUCUGUGCCAGCAGCCGCCGUAACAC
rnacentral:rRNA from 1 species